UGAGGAAUAUUGGUCAAUGGGCGGGAGCCUGAACCAGCCAAGCCGCGUGAGGGAGGAAGGCCCUAUGGGUCGUAAACCUCUUUUGUCAGGGAACAAAAGCGAGUAUGUAUACUAGUCUGAGUGUACCUGAAGAAAAAGCAUCGGCUAACUCCGUGCCAGCAGCCGCGGUAAUACGGAGGAUGCGAGCGUUAUCCGGAUUUAUUGGGUUUAAAGGGUGCGUAGGCGGCGGUGCAAGUCAGCGGUAAAAGCCCGGGGCUCAACCCGGCGAGCCGUUGAAACUGCAGUGCUAGAGAAGGCGAGAGGUACGCGGAAUGCGCAGUGUAGCGGUGAAAUGCUUAGAUAUUGCGCAGAACUCCGAUUGCGAAGGCAGCGUACUGCGCCUGACUGACGCUGAGGCACGAAAGCGUGGGGAUCGAACAGGAUUAGAUACC
rnacentral:rRNA from 1 species